AAGACCUAGGUACCUACCUGGUGGCUGGGGAGGGGGAAGGGGCAGGAGAGAGGGGAAGCAGGGCAAUUUGGGCUCCACAGAAGAUGAAGCUAGAACAACACAGAAGCCAGUCAAAGGAGGGAGAGAGAGAGAGAACCUGGGGUUUGUGAAGGUAGCGGCAUUCCUGUCAACCACACUGUUACCUUCUCUUGGCUGAGCCAAGAAGUAUAAGUUGUGGGCAGGGCACGGAGGCUGCUUACACACUGACCUCCUCCCCUCUUUGUGCUGCCCUCACCUGGCCACGUCAUAGAAGGCACUGCCGAGCUCAGGAAGUAGGAGGUUGGCUUCCUCACCCCCACUCUGCACAGCUGCCAUCAAGACUGACUUCUCAUCUUCAGCCUCCUGGGAAGAGACAGGGAGGAUUGGGAUGGAUUCCAAGGGAACAUUGAACUGAUGUGGACUUCACAAAAGACCAGCUCCAGUUUGACUGUUCACAGUGAGAGGAGAUCAUCUUGAAGCUUGUCUUCAAUAGAUCUUGAGAGCUGCUGAAAGAAGUCUUCUUGUUCUUUCUGCUUAUCAAGGAGGCCAGGUCUAUCUAUACAAGACAGCUUUCCUGUGAAGAUGGUGGGGUGCAGAGAAGCUAUAUGGGGCUAUGAGAAGAACUAAGCACAGUCUAGAGAGAAGGAGAAGAGAGAGAGAGAAGCAGCCUGCUGCUGACACGGGAACACCCAAUAACCUGCUAAGUCUCCCUCCCUUAGAUGCUGCAAGAAGCUAGAGAGCUUGAAGUGAAUGACAAUUUGGAGAAACAGCCGCAGCCUGAAGAUCUAAGAGGCUCUAAAGAAGAUGGAUAAGAAAAUCGAUGCAUAAUAAAAGCUGCAGGCAAAGCCACCUUGACACAGGG